rnacentral:rRNA from 1 species
ACCUCCGAAUCUGCAUUCGAAACUGGCUGACUCGAGUGGGAGAGGUAGCUCCACGUGUAGCGUGAAAUGCGUAGAGAUGUGGAGGAACACCGUGGCGAAGGCGGGCUCUCUUGGGCUGUAACUGACGCUGAGGCGCGAAAGCGUGGGGAGCAAACAGGAUUAGAUACCCUGGUAGUCCACGCCGUAAACGAUGUAUGUUUGGUGUUUGGGGCUUGAUACCCUGGGUGCCGAAGUUAACACUUAAAUCAUUCCCCCUGGGGAGUUCGCAAGAUUAAAUCAAGGAAUGGACGGGGGCCCCCCCCAAGGUGGACUAUGUGGUUUAAUUGGAAGCAACGCGAGAAACCUUCCCAGGUUUUGACUUCCCUGAGACCGUCCGAGAGAUAUGGGUUCCCUUCGGGGCAGAGGUGCCAGGUGGUCCAUGGUGUUUUUCUUCGUUUUUUGAAAUGUUGGGUUAAUUCCCCCAAGGAGGCCAACCCUUUCCUUUAUUUCCCACCGUUAAGCUGGGCACUCAAAAGAGACUGCCGUGACAAACCGGAGGAAGGUGGGGAUGACGUCAAAUCAUCAUGGCCCUUAUGACCUGGGCUACACACGUGCUACAAUGGCUGGUACAAAGAGAAGCGAACCUCGCGAGGGCAAGCAAUCCUCAAAAACCAGUUAGUCCGGAUUGGGUCUGCAACUGCCUGCCAGAUGGGAAUGUGUUAUUGGGGGUUCAUGCGCGGGGGAAUACGUUCCCGGUCCUGUUCCCCCCCCCCCUCCCCCCCCGGGGAGUUGCAACACAAAGAAGUAGGUGGGGUUAACCUCCCCGCCGCCCAAGGUGG